rnacentral:rRNA from 1 species
UACGAAGGGGGCUAGCGUUGCUCGGAAUCACUGGGCGUAAAGGGUGCGUAGGCGGGUUCUUAAGUCAGAGGUGAAAUCCUGGAGCUCAACUCCAGAACUGCCUUUGAUACUGAGGAUCUUGAGUUCGGGAGAGGUGAGUGGAACUGCGAGUGUAGAGGUGAAAUUCGUAGAUAUUCGGAAGAACACCAGUGGCGAAGGCGGCUCACUGGACCGGUAUUGACGCUGAGGUGCGAAAGCGUGGGGAGCAAACAGG